CUAAGAUAGAAGACCUAGUCUGAUGAACUUUCUCCUGGGAUAGAAAUCUUAGUCGGAUGAAUCUUUCUCCUAAGAUACCAAAAAAAAAGAAGAGAAAAAGGACCUAGUCUGAUGAAUUUUCUCCUAGGAUUAACGUCUUAGUCUGAUGAAUCUUUCUCCUAAGAUAGAAACCUAGUCUGACGAAUUUUCUCUUAGGAUAUUUUGGAAAAAAAAGGAAGUCGGGAUUUGAAAAAAAAGGGGUCAAUUUUUAGUUUUCUUUAGUUAUCAAUGUUUAGUUUUCUUGAAAUCAGGGAUCCCGCUUGGAGAAUAGGGUCAGUCUUUACUUUAGUCAAACUUAGUUUAUAGUUUUCCUAGUCUAUUCUUUAGUUUACUCUCAUCAUUGCAUCAAUAGUACAAGUUGUUUACAAUUUUGCGAACAACUCACAAAUCUUCCUAAUGCAAACCGGGGCAGAAAAAAAUUCUUUUGUUUUGUUUGUUUUGUUGUAAUCAGGCGCCCACCUGGAGAACAAGGGAAGACAACUCAAGUUUGAAGGGAAAGCAGUUUCGAAGGAAGACAACUCGAGUUUCAAGGGAAAGCAGUUUCGAAGGAAGACAAUUCAAGUUUUAAGGGAAAAUGGUUCAAGGUGCAAGGGAAAACAAUGUCAAGUAACAAGAGAAGACGGUUCAAGUUCAGCAAUCAGGCGCCCACUUGGAAAACAAAAGGGGGAAUUCAAUUCAGAAUGCAAUUCAGGUCAGCAACAAAAGAAGCUCGCGUCAAGAAUGCGAGUCAGCAGUCCAAGAUGAUCAACCGAAGUUAGUCACAAUCUAGAAUAAAAAGAAAAAAAAAAGAAAGACAAGAAGUGAAUCCAAAUGCAGAAGUUAAUGAAAGAUGUGAGUUGCUCAAGACAGGGCUGAGGUCACAAGCUCUGCAUGUCCCGUCUUGGUUUGAAAAAGCUGAAGAAGAUUGAACUAACACCCGCAGCUAACAAGUAUCAAGAUUCAGAUCAGAGUCCGCAUGAAAAACCAACCAAGACUCAAGAUCAAGCUUCAGAAGACUCAUAGAUAGGAAUCUUGUAAUUCGUAGCUGAUAGGCUUAGUUAAUCUUUUUUAUUUUUGAUUUUGAUGUAAUAACGAGAUCGCGGACCGGAACCUCGGCGGAAUGACAUCUCGACCGGCUCUCCAUCUCGGCACACUCCAUCAUCUCACUCACCUUUGAACUACACGUGGCCUGAUUCCUUUAUAGCCAAGGAUAUGUAGACAACUCAGAUACCAGGGCUCGGUCACAUUCCCCUCUCUCUUAGUUUUAGUU
rnacentral:lncRNA from 1 species